rnacentral:lncRNA from 1 species
GAGGAUAUCAACGCUAAUUUACACAACCAAUUACUACCGACAUCAUAUUCAUACCUAUCCUAUUCAACAACUAAAGCUAAACAGCAUAAAAACCAAAAAGCUAUCUAAUCAAACACAAAUACAUACUCUCAAAAAUUAAUCAAAAUCAAAAGUCCUGAAAAAUAAUGUAAUAAUUAUUAAUUGAACAUCAACCAAAAGUCUAACAAUCCACCGAAACGGUUUCAAACCUUUACCGGCGCCGGAAAAAACACGGAAUCGGCGGAGUUCUAUUUCUUUCUAUACAAACUCUACCGGCAGAUACAGAUAUAGAUAAUUGACAGAGAAUUAAAACAGAAAAUUAAGGAGGCUAGCUAGCUAGCUAGCUAGGGUUACUCGAAAAUGCUACGUUUAGCAGGACGAUCAGCGGAUUGGAGAGUUUUGUCAAUGAGCUUACGAGCUUGCCUGCUUCGGAUCUCGACCUUGACGCUGGAGCUCUUCUCCAUCUUUAUGUAGGGCUUAUUUGAUUUCUUCUUCUUCUUCAACGAUCGGACCUUGGAUUUUAUGGAUUCCACCAAAUUCUCCAACUGGUUCGCCAUUUCUCUCUCCUCGUGUAUUAUAUAUAUAUAUAUAUAUAUAUAUAUGCACGUAUGUAUAUAUGAAUCUGGUGCUCAGUGUUUGCCAGUGAUAAGUAUUUGUUGGUUGUUGCUGGUUGGGGAAAUGAAAUGAAUAGAGUGGGAGUGGGGGUGGGGGUGGGGUGAGAAUGCCACAACUAUGUUUUUCUGCUUCUAGUUGGGUGCCCCAUUCCGAGGUAUUUAUUGACUUUGCGAUGGUCAGAAUUUUUUUUUACCGUAUUUUACGGAUACGCCACUAGCUUAGCUGUUUCGUUCUGAC